rnacentral:rRNA from 1 species
UUUAUGGAGAGUUUGAUCCUGGCUCAGGAUGAACGCUGGCGGCGUGCCUAAUACAUGCAAGUCGAGCGAACUGACGAGGAGCUUGCUCCUUUGACGUUAGCGGCGGACGGGUGAGUAACACGUGGGUAACCUACCUAUAAGACUGGAAUAACUCCGGGAAACCGGGGCUAAUGCCGGAUAACAUGUUGAACCGCAUGGUUCAACAGUGAAAGACGGUCUUGCUGUCACUUAUAGAUGGACCCGCGCCGUAUUAGCUAGUUGGUAAGGUAACGGCUUACCAAGGCGACGAUACGUAGCCGGCCUGAGAGGGUGAUCGGCCACACUGGAACUGAGACACGGUCCAGACUCCUGCGGGAGGCAGCAGUAGGGAAUCUUCCGCAAUGGGCGAAAGCCUGACGGAGCAACGCCGCGUGAGUGAUGAAGGUCUUCGGAUCGUAAAGCUCUGUUGUUAGGGAAGAACAUAUGUG